rnacentral:rRNA from 1 species
UACGUAGGGUGCGAGCGUUAAUCGGAAUUACUGGGCGUAAAGCGUGCGCAGGCGGUUGUGCAAGACAGAUGUGAAAUCCCCGGGCUUAACCUGGGAAUGGCAUUUGGGACUGCAAGGCUCGAGUGCGGCAGAGGAGACUGGAAUUCCUGGUGUAGCAGUGAAAUGCGCAGAUAUCAGGAGGAACACCAGCGGCGAAGGCGGCGCUCUGGGCCGGAACUGACGCUGAGGAGCGAAAGCGUGGGUAGCAAACAGG